rnacentral:lncRNA from 1 species
AAAAAAUGAAAACUCACUUUAGCAACAUUGUUUGCCAUUCGAAGAUGCACCCCUCUGCACAAUAAUAUAUCGUUUGAACAAACUAUGCCAUGAAUGUCGUUAUAAGAUCGAUCAUUUGGCUUGAAAGCCAUGAAUCUUCACACAUGAUAGCUCAUUUAAUAGAACAUCUUUUUCAAAUAAUUGCCGUAUUCGAAGUGUAUUAUUUUUCCUGGUUACUUGGUCACAUAAAAUUACAUAAUGCAAAGGUUUUCCCUUUUUUGAUUUUUUUUAAUUUUUCAUGUCCAUUUCAAAAUGUGGUCAAAACGGCGGGCAUGA